rnacentral:misc_RNA from 1 species
UCCGAUUUGUCACCGGCAGUCACCUUAGAGUGCCCAACUUAAUGCUGGCAACUAAGAUCAGGGGUUGCGCUCGUUACGGGACUUAACCCAACAUCUCACGACACGAGCUGACGACAACCAUGCACCACCUGUCACCGCUGUCCCCGAAGGGAAAGCUAUAUCUCUAUAGCGGGCAGCGGGAUAUCAAGACCUGGUAAGGUUCUUCGCGUUGCUUCGAAUUAAACCACAUGCUCCACCGCUUGUGCGGGCCCCCGUCAAUUCUUUUGAGUUUCAGCCUUGCGGCCGUACUCCCCAGGCGGAGUGCUUAACGCGUUAACUUACAGCACUAAGGGGCGGAAACCCCUUAACACCUAGCACUCAUCGUUUACAGCGUGGACUAC